AUUGAACGCUGCCGGCAGGCCUAACACAUGCAAGUCGAACGAGCGGCGUACGGGUGAGUUAUGUCUGGGAAACUGCCUGAUGGAGGGGGAUAAUUACUGGAAACGGUAGCUAAUACCGCAUACCUUCAGACGCGCCCAGAUGGGAUUAGCUAGUUGGUGGGGUAACGGCUCACCAAGGCGACGAACCCUAGCUGGUCUGAGAGGAUGACCAGCCACACUGGAACCUAGACACGGUCCAGACUCCUACGGGAGGCAGCAGUGGGGAAUAUUGCACAAUGGGCGCAAGCCUGAUGCAGCCAUGCCGCGUGUAUGAAGAAGGCCUUCGGGUUGUAAAGUACUUUCAGCGGGGAGGCGUUACCCGCAGAAGAGACACCGGCUAACUCCGUGCCAGCAGCCGCGGUAAUUC
rnacentral:rRNA from 1 species